CCUACGGGAGGCAGCAGUGGGGAAUAUUGGACAAUGGGCGAAAGCCUGAUCCAGCAAUGCCGCGUGAGUGAUGAAGGCCUUCGGGUCGUAAAGCUCUUUUACCAGGGAUGAUAAUGACAGUACCUGGAGAAUAAGCUCCGGCUAACUCCGUGCCAGCAGCCGCGGUAAUACGGAGGGAGCUAGCGUUGUUCGGAAUUACUGGGCGUAAAGAGUACGUAGGCGGUUAUUCAAGUCAGAGGUGAAAGCCCGGGGCUCAACCCCGGAACUGCCUUUGAAACUAGAUAACUAGAGUCUUGGAGAGGUUAGUGGAAUUCCGAGUGUAGAGGUGAAAUUCGUAGAUAUUCGGAAGAACACCAGUGGCGAAGGCGACUAACUGGACAAGUACUGACGCUGAGGUACGAAAGCGUGGGGAGCAAACAGGAUUAGAUACCCUGGUAGUCCACGCCGUAAACGAUGAUAACUAGUUGUUCGGUCACUUGGUGACUGAGUGACGCAGCUAACGCAUUAAGUUAUCCGCCUGGGGAGUACGGUCGCAAGNUUAAAACUAAAUGAAUUGACGG
rnacentral:rRNA from 1 species